rnacentral:rRNA from 1 species
GGAAGGGAUGUAUUUAUUAGAUAAAAAAUCAAUGCCUUCGGGCUCUUUGAUGAUUCAUAAUAACUUUUCGAAUCGCAUGGCCUUGUGCUGGCGAUGGUUCAUUCAAAUUUCUGCCCUAUCAACUUUCGAUGGUAGGAUAGUGGCCUACCAUGGUUUCAACGGGUAACGGGGAAUAAGGGUUCGAUUCCGGAGAGGAGGCCUGAGAAACGGCUACCACAUCCAAGGAAGGCAUCAGGCGCGCAAAUUACCCAAUCCCGACACGGGGAGGUAGUGACAAUGGAUAACGAUACAGGGCCCUUUUGGGUCUUGUAAUUGGAAUGAGUACAAUGUAAAUACCUUAACGAGGAACAAUUGGAGGGCAAGUCUGGUGCCAGCAGCCGCGGUAAGGCCAGCUCCAAAAGCGUAUAUUAAAGUUGUUGCAGUUAAAAAGCUCGUAGUUGAACCUUGGGCUUGGCUGGCCGGUCCAUCUUUUUGAUGCGUACUGGACCCAGCCGAGCCUUUCCUUCUGGGUAGCCAUUUAUGGCGAACCAGGACUUUUAC